rnacentral:rRNA from 1 species
GAUGAACGCUGGCGGCGUGCCUAAUACAUGCACGUCGAGCGAACAGACGAGGAGCUUGCUCCCUUGACGUUAGCGGCGGACGGGUGAGUAACACGUGGAUAACCUACCUAUAAGACUGGGAUAACUUCGGGAAACCGGAGCUAAUACCGCAUAACACGUUCAACCGCAUGGUUCAACAGUGAAAGACGGUUUUGCUGACACUUAUACAUGCAUCUGCGCCGCAUUAGCUAGUUGGUAAGGUAACGGCCUACCAAGGCAACGAUGCGUAGCCGACCUGAGAGGGUGAUCAGCCACACUGGAGCGGAAACACGGUCCAAACUCCUACGGGAGGCAGCAGUAGGGAAUCUUGCGCAAUGGGCGAAAGCCUGACGGAGCAACACCGCGUGAGUGAAGAAGGUCUUCGGAUCGUAAAACUCUGUUAUUAGGGAAGAACAAAUGUGUAAGAAACUCUGCACGUCUUGACGGUACCUAAUCAGAAAGCCACGGCUAACUACGUG